GGCGCGUAGCUCAGGUGGUUAGAGCGCACGCCUGAUAAGCGUGAGGUCGGUGGUUCGAGUCCACUAUGGCGGUG
rnacentral:tRNA from 1 species